rnacentral:rRNA from 1 species
UACGGAGGGUGCGAGCGUUGUCCGGAAUCACUGGGCGUAAAGGGCGCGUAGGCGGCGCGGAUAGUCGGCGGUGAAAGCCCGGAGCUCAACUCCGGGUCGGCCGUCGAUACUUCCGGGCUUGAGCACUGUAGAGGCAGAUGGAAUUCCGGGUGUAGCGGUGGAAUGCGUAGAGAUCCGGAGGAACACCGGUGGCGAAGGCGGUCUGCUGGGCAGUUGCUGACGCUGAUGCGCGACAGCGUGGGGAGCAAACAGG